UAGAACCAUAAUUUUUAUUAUAGCAAGAAUAUUACCAUGUCUUUACAAGUAUCCAAUAAAAAGAAAAUUGCACAGAAAUAAAACAAAAUCCUAUAACUAAUCUUCUACUCCCUCGGUCCAAGAAUACCUCUCGCAAGGGGAGGAAAUUUUGAACUGAAGUGCAUUUUACAUUACAACCUGUCAUAUUUCAAAUCAAAAUCAAUCGAGUCCACGUCCGAUCGGCAGCAGCGCCUCGUCCUGGCAUUGAGGAGAGCCAGAACUCAUCUCUUCGGUAGCUCGUCACCACCCUCCCGGCAGCCUCCGACAUCACGUACCCACCCUCCCAGCGUCGAUCAACUGCUUUGAGGUAGCAGAUUCCUCCUCUGUGUCUGCUCCUGCAAUUAACACUUUGAAUGCAAUUAACAAUUUGAAUGUUAACAUGGGGCAAAGAUAAGAUGGAUCAGUAUAUAACAAUGGAGUACAUGCACAAUUAGAUGUUCAAGCUGUUUAAUGUCACUCCCAUCAUCACAAUUUCAUCUCAGGAAAUGGAGUAGAAUAGAUUUAAUUGGAUGUUUGAAUGAUAUGGUUACUUACAAGUGUCAGGGCUAUUACGGUCAGUUAAGUAAUUGCACCAGAUUAAAGAGGAGCCAAAGAAUUUACAAGUGGUCUAGUGCAUAUGCAAGUGCAAGUUACUCAGUUAAAAUUCAGUACUCCAUUGCCCAAAAUAAUUCAGUUAAAAUUUUGUUAAAAGAUCACUGAAUUAACCAAGUACUCCAGGUCAGGUCCAGUUACUCAAUGCAUAAUUGCUAAACCUAUCAUCAAUGGAAGGUCACCAAUUUUAAUUGAGCAGUAGCUAAUUGAGCAAACACACUGAGCUUAUGCAUAACACAUUAGCUGCAGCGGUGAUUAUUUCACAGGGAUAAACCUCCAAAUAUAACCACUAUACCACACUAUAUAAAUUGUGAAUCAAGGAACUGCUGCAAUUGACAUGAGAAGAUCAACAAUAUAUGCUCACCUCCAGGAACAAAGUCAGCUCCAUAUAUAUGCUAGCUCCAGGGUAAAUAUGCCACAAUAUCACACCUUGUGAAAAGAGCAUCUUAUUAAACAGUCGGUCACAAACAUUCUAAUUUCUUAACAUAAUUACAGUAAGUUACUUACUUGCGGUAUACACAGGGGAUAAUUAUCAUAUUAAUUACCUUGUUUGAGGUAAAUUAAUUGCUAAAGUUAACAUAAAAAAUGAAAAUUAGAUGAACUGUAAACUGUUCAAGGAAACAGAAAGUGCAAACCGAAUAACAAACAAAAAUAGCAAGAUUAGCCUCUUGUUUAC
rnacentral:lncRNA from 1 species